rnacentral:tRNA from 1 species
UGCCCCUUGGUGUAAUUGGUAACACGCCUGACUCUGAAUCAGGUAUUCAAGGUUCGAGUCCUUGAGGGGCAGCCA